CGGAUGCGAUCAUACCAGCACUAAAGCACCGGAUCCCAUCAGAACUCCGAAGUUAAGCGUGCUUGGGCGAGAGUAGUACUAGGAUGGAUGGGUGACCUCCUGGGAAGUCCUCGUGUUGCAUCCCUC
rnacentral:rRNA from 1 species